AGCGAACGCUGGUGGCAGGCCUAACACAUGCAAGUCGAACGAACCUUUCGGGGUUAGUGGCGGACGGGUGAGUAACACGUGGGAACGUGCCUUUAGGUUCGGAAUAACUCAGGGAAACUUGUGCUAAUACCGAAUGUGCCCUUCGGGGGAAAGAUUAAUCGCCUUUAGAGCGGCCCGCGUCUGAUUAGCUAGUUGGUUGAGGUAAUGGCUCACCAAGGCGACGAUCAGUAGCUGGUCUGAGAGGAUGAUCAGCCACAUUGGGACUGAGACACGGCCCAAACUCCUACGGGAGGCAGCAGUGGGGAAUCUUGCGCAAUGGGCGAAAGCCUGACGCAGCCAUGCCGCGUGAAUGAUGAAGGUCUUAGGAUUGUAAAAUUCUUUCACCGGGGACGAUAAUGACGGUACCCGGAGAAGAAGCCCCGGCUAACUUCGUG
rnacentral:rRNA from 1 species